GACGAACGCUGGCGGCGUGCUUAACACAUGCAAGUCGAACGGUGAACGAGGGAGCUUGCUCCCUCCGGAUCAGUGGCGAACGGGUGAGUAACACGUGAGCAAUCUGCCCCGAACUCUGGGAUAAGCGUUGGAAACGACGUCUAAUACCGGAUACGACGCGGGAGGGCAUCCUCUCCGCGUGGAAAGAACUUCGGUUCGGGAUGAGCUCGCGGCCUAUCAGCUUGUUGGUAAGGUAACGGCUCACCAAGGCGACGACGGGUAGCCGGCCUGAGAGGGUGACCGGCCACACUGGGACUGAGACACGGCCCAGACUCCUACGGGAGGCAGCAGUGGGGAAUAUUGCACAAUGGGCGCAAGCCUGAUGCAGCAAUGCCGCGUGAGGGACGACGGCCUUCGGGUUGUAAACCUCUUUUAGCAGGGAAGAAGCGAAAGUGACGGUACCUGCAGAAAAAGCACCGGCUAACUACGUG
rnacentral:rRNA from 1 species